GACGAACGCUGGCGGCGUGCCUAAUACAUGCAAGUUGAGCGCUGAAGGUUGGUACUUGUACCAACUGGAUGAGCAGCGAACGGGUGAGUAACGCGUGGGGAAUCUGCCUUUGAGCGGGGGACAACAUUUGGAAACGAAUGCUAAUACCGCAUAAAAACUUUAAACACAAGUUUUAAGUUUGAAAGAUGCAAUUGCAUCACUCAAAGAUGAUCCCGCGUUGUAUUAGCUAGUUGGUGAGGUAAAGGCUCACCAAGGCGAUGAUACAUAGCCGACCUGAGAGGGUGAUCGGCCACAUUGGGACUGAGACACGGCCCCAACUCCUACGGGAAGCAGCAGUAGGGAAUCUUUGGCAAUAGACGAAAGUCUGACCGAGCAACGCCGCGUGAGUGAAGAAGGGUUUCGGAUCGUAAAACUCUGUUGGUAGAGAAGAACGUUGGUGAGAGUGGAAAGCUCAUCAAGUGACGGUAACUACCCAGAAAGGGACGGCUAACUACGUG
rnacentral:rRNA from 1 species